AUGCCGAGGGCUUCCAUCUUCGCAGAUGAUGCUAUCUUGUUUUUCAGGCCGGUGCAUGCCGACUUACAGACCAUAUCUAGUAUUCUGAAGCUCGUUGGUGAAGCCGCGGGUCUGAGGAUUAACUUGUAUAAGAGUACUAUCACAACCAUCUGUUGCGACGAAGGGGUUGCAACAGCUGUGGAGGAGCAUUUCCAGUGCAGGAGGCAACAAUUCCCUAUCCAAUAUUUGGGCCUACCCCUCUCCAUCUUCCGAUUGCGACGCCAAGAUCUCCUCCCACUCAUCGAUAAAUUCUCAGGAAAAUUGAAAGGAUGGAAGCCAAAGAUGCUUGCUGUUGCGGGCCGUCUAACUCUCACUCGCUCGGUCCUCAUGGCCCUGCCCUUACACUGGAUGGCUGUACUCCCUUUGCCGGCUUGGGUCAUCAAGAUCAUUAAUAGGCGUUGCCGUGGAUUUAUUUGGAAGGGUGAACAGGAGAUCAAUGGUGGUCAUGGUCUACUGCCUUGGUCCAGAGUUUGCUUGCCUUUGGAG
rnacentral:rRNA from 1 species